UACGUAGGGCGCAAGCGUUGUCCGGAAUUAUUGGGCGUAAAGCGUCCGUAGGUGGCUUUACAAGUCAGCUGUUAAAGCGUGGAGCUUAACUCCAUAAAGGCAGUUGAAACUGUGAGGCUAGAGUGCGGUAGGGGUAAGGGGAAUUCCCAGUGUAGCGGUGAAAUGCGUAGAUAUUGGGAAGAACACCGGUGGCGAAAGCGCCUUGCUGGACCUGCACUGACACUGAGGGACGAAAGCUAGGGGAGCGAAAGGG
rnacentral:rRNA from 1 species